rnacentral:lncRNA from 1 species
AAACAUGAGAAUGUGAGCCAUAUUUUUCUUCCUUUGCAUGUAAAACAAUUUUUUUAAUCUCUUUAUAAGUAAACUUUAAUGCUUUGUUAACUUUAAUUAAAAUAUUUUUUGUUGAUUCAUUAUAAUUAAUGUUAAAUGUCUCUUAUGCGUGUAUCCUAUUGUUCACCCGUUGGGUCAUUUAAUAUUUGUAAGAAUCUCACAUAAAAGUCUUGAUGACUGCCAAAGUUCUUUAAUUUUUUUUAUUAAACUUCAUUAUACAUAUUUUUAUUUUUAUUUUAACCAUUCAUAAUAGAUAGGGGAAAAUUCCAAAAACAAAUAACAAUAAUGAAUUAAGAAAAAAUAUUUAGCUGUACAAAUAGGACAUCGAAAAGGUAUGAGCACAUCAUUUAAAAAUAAAAUUGUACCAACUAUGAUAUAUAUAUUUUUUUGGAAAAUUAUAUAUCAAAGGUUUUUUUUCUUGACAAUAAUUUUAUAUCAAACUUAAUACAUAUUAAAUGUAUAAAUUGUAAGACUCACAAGUUUAACCUAGCUAGGGAUAUAGGUAUUGCUCGAGACCGGACCUCGACCCAACCAACAACCCAUUUACGAAGGCUCAACAAUAGAUGCACCACCUCAAGGAUGCUUAGGAAGGUCAUAUGUGUGCAUAACUACACGAGAACACGACGAUAAGACGAUCAUGGUUGUUCACUCAAUAUCUAACCGUCUUAUGCCUUUGAACACGUUUUUUGACUCACUAUUAUGAGUUAUUAGACUCUAUGCAACACAAUCUUCACAAACUUCUCUUAAUAAUACUCUUCAAACUUUCACCAUUUCUCACACCAUCAUCUCACACUCUCUCCUCCUCUUCCUUCUACAACAAUGUGUUUCCAUCGUUAACCUUUCAUAAAAAGAGACUACGUUAAAAAUUUAUGGAUUGUAUGAACGGUCAAUGGAGAUGAUGCUGCGCUGAAAAGAAGCACAAUUUGUAUGGGUGUCAUGUUUGUCUGCUUGGGCGCAAGUUUAACCAUCAAGGUAUCUUUCGCCCAGAGAUAUUUUUGGAGAAAAAAAAUAGGGCACGUGAAAAACAUAUAAGGUGAAAGAAAUAGUCUUGUCAUUUUGGUAUUUUAAUUAAAGUGCAUUGUGAGCCUAUAUGAAUAAAGAGCUUACUUGUAGCUUAUAUCACAAUCGUUAAUCAAGAUAAACGUAUAUGUAUUAUGUAACACCCCGUUUCCCAAAAAUCCAUUAAUUAAUAAUUCAUGCAUCAGAGUAAUUCCCAAACGGGCAUGUCACACUACAUUUUCAAAAUUUCUUAAAUAGAAUAUAAAAUCUAUUUAAUAAACAUCCUUCAAGUCAUUAUUAAAUUUGCAGCGGAAAAUUUGCAUCAAAACAACGAUAGCAAUAGUUUAAAUCUCC